rnacentral:rRNA from 1 species
GACGAACGCUGGCGGCGUGCCUAAUACAUGCAAGUAGAACGCACAGUUUAUACCGUAGCUUGCUACACCAUAGACUGUGAGUUGCGAACGGGUGAGUAACGCGUAGGUAACCUGCCUGGUAGCGGGGGAUAACUAUUGGAAACGAUAGCUAAUACCGCAUAAUAUUGAUUAUUGCAUGAUAAUUAAUUGAAAGGUGCAAUUGCACCACUACCAGAUGGACCUGCGUUGUAUUAGCUAGUAGGUGAGGUAACGGCUCACCUAGGCGACGAUACAUAGCCGACCUGGGAGGGGGAUCGGCCAAACUGGGACUGAGACACGGCCCAGACUCCUACGGGAGGCAGCAGUAGGGAAUCUUCGGCAAUGGACGAAAGUCUGACCGAGCAACGCCGGGGGAGUGAAGAAGGUUUUCGGAUCUUAAAGCUCUGUUGUAAGAGAAGGGGGGGUGGGGGGGGGGAAAUUUCCCCCUGGGACGGUUUUUUACCAGAAAGGGACGGCUAACUACGU